rnacentral:RNase_P_RNA from 1 species
GCAGUAAGCUGGACAGUCGCGCAGGCGGGGCGAAAGGCCUGUCUGUGAGGAAAGUCCGGGCUCCAUAGGGCAAGGAUAACGGGUAACACCCGCCGGGGGCGACCCUAGGACAAGUGCAACAGAGAUAUACCGCCUCUCCCGUCUACAGAUGGGUGUGGGCAGCGGGACUGCCGCCUUUUGCGGACGUCAACGCGCCUGCGUUGAGGUAAGGGUGGAAAGGCGAGGUAAGAGCUCACCCGAUGGCGUGGAAGCGCCCAUCGCUGUAAACUCUAUCUGGAGCAACGCCGUGGAGGGACACGAAGGCCGGCCCGGCCGUCCCGGGGAGGCGGCUUGAGCGCGUCAGUAAUGGCGCGUCGAGAUAGAUGGCUGUCUUAAAAGACAGAACCCGGCUUACAGGCUUACUGCAGCA